rnacentral:rRNA from 1 species
AUUGAACGCUGGCGGCAGGCCUAACACAUGCAAGUCGAAUGGUAACAGGAAACAGCUUGCUGUUUCGCUGACGAGUGGCGGACGGGUGAGUAAUGUCUGGGAAACUGCCCGAUGGAGGGGGAUAACUACUGGAAACGGUAGCUAAUACCGCAUAACGUCGCAAGCCCAAAGAGGGGGACCUUCGGGCCUCUUGCCAUCAGAUGUGCCCAGAAGGGAUUAGCUAGUAGGUGGGGUAACGGCUCACCUAGGCGACGAUCCCUAGCUGGUCUGAGAGGAUGACCAGCCACACUGGAACUGAGACACGGUCCAGACUCCUACGGUAGGCAGCAGUGGGGAAUAUUGCACAAUGGGCGCAAGCCUGAUGCAGCCAUGCCGCGUGUAUGAAGAAGGCCUUCGGGUUGUAAAGUACUUUCAGCGGGGAGGAAGGGAGUAAAGUUAAUACCUUUGCUCAUUGACGUUACCCGCAGAAGAAGCACCGGCUAACUCCGUG